AUACUUAGUGGCAGACGGGUGAGUAACAUGUGGGUAUCUGCCCUUUGGCCUGGAAUAACACGAGGAAACUUGUGCUAAUACCAGAUAAGUCUUUACGGAGAAAGCUUUAUGCACCAUUGGAUGAGCCCGCACUUGAUUAGUUUGUUGGUGGGGUAAUGGCCUACCAAGACUUUGAUCAAUAGCUGAUUUGAGAGGAUGAUCAGCCACAUUGGGACUGAGACACGGCCCAAACUCCUACGGGAGGCAGCAGUGGGGAAUCUUGCACAAUGGAGGAAACUCUGAUGCAGCGAUGCCGCGUGAGUGAAGAAGGCCCUUGGGUUGUAAAGCUCUUUCGUCGGGGAAGAAAAUGACUGUACCCGAAUAAGAAGGUCCGGCUAACUUCGUGCCAGCAGCCGCGGUAAUACGAAGGGACCUAGCGUAGUUCGGAAUUACUGGGCUUAAAGAGUUCGUAGGUGGUUGAAAAAGUUGGUGGUGAAAUCCCAGAGCUUAACUCUGGAACUGCCAUCAAAACUUUUCAGCUAGAGUUUGAUAGAGGAAAGCAGAAUUUCUAGUGUAGAGGUGAAAUUCGUAGAUAUUAGAAAGAAUACCAAUUGCGAAGGCAGCUUUCUGGAUCAUUACUGACACUGAGGAACGAAAGCAUGGGUAGCGA
rnacentral:rRNA from 1 species